GGAGUAUGCUAAAGAGUAUGUUGUUUAAUAUCUAUAUAUUUGUGAAUUUUUUGUUUUUUUCUAUUGUUGUAUACUCUUAUUUCAUGUUUGUUAUAGAAAGUAAUCUAUACAAAUUCAGUUCUAAAAAAUUUGUUAAGACUUCUUUUUUGGCCUACCAAGUGUCCUAUUGAGGAGAAUGUUGUAUGAGCUAUUGAGAAGAGUGUGUAACAUUAAUGUUGUUAAGGAGUAUUCUCUAUACCUCUUUGUUAAAUCUGAUUGUUUUAUAGUGCCUUUAAGCCCUCUCUUUCCUUACUAAUAUUUUGUCUUAUUUUUAUUAGAGCAAGUGGGUAUUAAAAUACUCUACUAUAAUUAUAUUGCUCUCUAUAUGUUUCCUCCAUUCUUUCAAUAUUUACUUUAUAUAUUUGGAACUUUAAUGUGAGAUACACAAACUCAAACACACACACAUACGUAGAAAUUUGUCAUAGGUUCCCAGUGAAUGAAUCUAUUAUUUUAUAAUUUUUUAAAAAUCUCUUUGGAGUUUUGACUUUAAAGUACAUUUCAUAACAUGAUAGUCUUUAACUUAAGAUGCAGCUUGUGUAAUACUAUUUUGACCUCUUCUGCCAUUGUUUUGUUAAUAUUUGCAUGAAAUGUCUACAUCCAUCUUGCCAUUUUUAUUCUUUUGUUAUCAUGACACUUCAACUGACUUGUAAAAAAGUUGGAUGGGCCGGGCGCGGUGGCUCAAGCCUGUAAUCCCAGCACUUUGGGAGGCCGAGACGGGCGGAUCACGAGGUCAGGAGAUCGAGACCAUCCUGGCUAACACGGUGAAACCCCGUCUCUACUAAAAAAUACAAAAAACUAGCCGGGCGAAGUGGCGGGCGCCUGUAGUCCCAGCUACUUGGGAGGCUGAGGCAGGAGAAUGGCGUGAACCCGGGAGGCGGAGCUUGCAGUGAGCUGAGAUCCGGCCACUGCACUCCAGCCUGGGCGACAGAGCAUGACUCCGUCUCAAAAAAAAAAAAAAAAAGUUGGAUGUUCAUUUUUUAAUUUUUUUCUAUGGAUUCAUUGAUGGAAAAUAUGUCUAUUGAGGCCAGGCAUGGUAGCUCAUACAUGGAAUCCUCG
rnacentral:lncRNA from 1 species